AGAGCGAACGCUGGCGGCAGGCCUAACACAUGCAAGUCGAGCGCGUGUAGCAAUACACGAGCGGCAGACGGGAGAGUAACACGUGGGAACGCGCCCUUCGGUUCGGAAUAACUCAGGGAAACUUGAGCUAAUACCGGAUACGCCCUUACGGGGAAGAUUUAUUGCCGAAGGAACGGCCCGCGUCCGAUUAGCUAGUUGGUGAGGUAACGGCUCACCAAGGCGACGAUCGGUAGCUGGUCUGAGAGGAUGACCAGCCUCACUGGGACUGAGACACGGCCCAGACUCCUACGGGAGGCAGCAGUGGGGAAUAUUGGACAAUGGGCGCAAGCCUGAUCCAGCCAUGCCGCGUGGAUGAUGAAGGCCUUAGGGUUGUAAAGUCCUUUUAACGGGGAAGAUAAUGACGGUACCCGUAGAAUAAGCCCCGGCUAACUUCGCGCCAGCAGCCGC
rnacentral:rRNA from 1 species